GAGGACUAUUAUAAUGGAGGUACAGGAGGACUAUCAUACUAGAGCUACAGGAGGACUAAUAUACUAGAGACACUAGAGUACUAUUAUACUAGAGGUACAGAAAGACAAUUAUUUAACUAGAAGAGGAGGAGGACUAUUGUAAUAGAGGUACAGGAGGACUAUUAUACUAGAGGUACAAGAGGACUAUUAUACUAGAGACACUAGAGGACUAUUAUUCUAGAGGUACAGGAGGACUAUGAUACUAGAGACACUAAAGGACUAUUAUACUAGAGGUACAGGAGGACUAUUAUACUAGAGGUACAGUAGGACUAUUAUUCUAGAGGUACAGGAGGACUAUUAUACUAGAGACACUAGAGGACUAUUAUACUAGAGACACUAGAGGACUAUUAUACUAGAGACACUAGAGGACUAUUCUACUAGAGAGACUAGAGGACUAUUAUAUUAGAGACACUAGAGGACUAUUAUACUAGAGACACUAGAGGACUAUUAUACUAGAGGUAUAGGAGGACUAUUUAAUUAUAGGUACAGGAGGACUAUUAUACUAGAGGUACAGGAGGACUAUUAUACUAGAGGUAAAGGAGGAAUAUUAUACUAGAGCUACAGGAGGACUAAUAUACUAGAGACACUAGAGGACUAUUAUACUAGAGAGACUAGUGGACUUUAUACUAGAGACACUAGAGGACUAUUAUACUAGAGGUACAGGAGGACUAUUAUACUAGACACACUAGAGGACUAUUAUUCUAGAGGUACAGGAGGACUAUUAUACUAGAGACACUAGAGGACUAUUAUACUAGAGACACUAGAGGACUAUUAUACUAGAGACACUAGAGGACUAUUACACUAAAGACACUAGAGAACUAUUAUACUAGCGGUACAGGAGGACUAUCAUACUAGAGGUACAGGAGGACUAUUAUACUAGAGACACUAGAGGACUAUUAUACUAGACGUACAGGAGGACUAUUAUUCUAGAGACACUAGAGGACUAUUAUACUAGAGAGACUAGAGGACUAUUAUUCUAGAGACACUAGAGGACUAUUAUUUUAGAGGUACAUGAGAACUAUUAUACUAGAGGUAUAGGAGGACUAUUAUACUAGAGCCACUAGAGGAAUAUUAUUCUAGAGACAUUAGAGGGCUAUUAUACUAGAGGUACAGGAGGACUAUUAUACUAGAGACACUAGAGGACUAUUAUACUAGAGGUACAGGAUGCCUAUAAUACUAGAGGUAUAGGAGGACUAUUAUACUAGAGCCACUA